UGAUCCUACGGGAGGCAGCAGUGGGGGAUAUUGGACAAUGGGGGGAACCCUGAUCCAGCGACGCCGCGUGAGUGAAGAAGUAUUUCGGUAUGUAAACCUCUUUUGUCAGGGAGCAACGCCGGCUACGUGUAGCCGGACUGAGAGUACCUGAAGAAAAAGCAUCGGCUAACUCCGUGCCAGCAGCCGCGGUAAUACGGAGGAUGCGAGCGUUAUCCGGAUUUAUUGGGUUUAAAGGGUGCGUAGGCGGAAUGCCAAGUCAGCGGUAAAAUCGCGGGGCUCAACCUCGCUCCGCCGUUGAAACUGGC
rnacentral:rRNA from 1 species